rnacentral:rRNA from 1 species
CGUGUAGGCGGGUCGGAACGUCGGUCGCUGAAAUCCCCCGGCUCAACCGGGGAAGGGGCGCCGAUACGGCCGACCUGGAGGGACGUAGGGGGGGCUGGAACUUCCGGUGGAGCGGUGAAAUGCGUUGAGAUCGGAAGGAACGCCCGUGGCGAAAGCGAGCCCCUGGACGUCUACUGACGCUGAGACGCGAAAGCCAGGGGAGCGAACG